AGCUUAGAGAAAUUAUUCUAGGUGAAGCCUGCCCGGUGAAGAUUUAACGGCCGCGGUACCCUGACCGUGCUAAGGUAGCGUAAUCAGUUGACUUUUAAAUGAAGUCUAGUAUGAAUGGAUCAAUGGGAUUAAGCUGUCUCUUUUUUAUUUUAUUGAAAUUACUAAUUAGGUGAAAAGGCCUAAAAGUGAAAAAGGACGAGAAGACCCUUAGAGUUUUAAUAAUAAAUUUUUGUUGGGGCGACAAGAAGACAUAAUUAACUCUUCUAAAAUAAAAUUUACUUGCCGGUUUUUCCAAGAAUGGAUAAACUACCUAAGGGAUAACAGCAUAAUCCAUUUAUGGGUUUGUGACCUCGAUGUUGGACUAGGAAACUUGUAUCCUAGCAGGAUAUAUAGUUAGGUUCUGUUCGAACUUUUUCUCCU
rnacentral:rRNA from 1 species